GAGGGUAUAGCUCAGGGCUAGAGCACAUGCUUAGCAUGCACAAGACCCUGGGUUCAAUCCCCAGCACCUCUA
rfam:Camelus ferus unplaced genomic scaffold scaffold983, whole genome shotgun sequence.